GGAAAUUCUAAACUGAUUUAUGAAAACAGGGCAUUACUUCCAAUGGAGAAUUAAUUAAUCAAAUGAAGUGAUAUGAACUUAAAACUUGUUUGUUUUGAAACUUAGGAAAGUUGAGUGUAAUCUACCCAAAAUUUAGAAGCAGCGGAUUAGAAUUGAAAUUAUUAUGGAUUUUAUAAAAACGCUGCUGCUUGCUGUUUUUCUGAAUCUUUACAAGUGCAGUAGCAGAAUUUUAAAACCUUGUAUAAAAUUCAAUUCUGGUCCAAAUGUAGUAAAAUAUAAUUCAAAGUAAAGGUUAGGAUCUCUAGAGUUACUUUGAUAAGAGAGAUAGUCCGUGCGUAGGCUUUCACAACAUAAAAACCACAUAACAAGACAGCAAGGUGCUGUUCCUACAAACCUAGAAUAACAGUCUCGGUUUUUCCUCAAUAGCUGGAGAUAGACUGCCCAGAAAAAUAUGAUUUCUAGACCUUUAGAAACUUGAGUUUAAUACGAACAUGUGGACAUGAAAUUUGUGUGAGUCCGAGUCCGUUUGUGAUAUUAAUCGUUAGAUAGAAAACCGGUCGCCAAAAGGGUAUUAGGCUAAACAAGCUAAGAAAUGAAUAAGAAUGUACGAUAGAUGGUAUUCAUUUGGAUUGUUACAGGUGUAAUUUAUUUGCUAAGUACUAUAUUGCUAAUUUGUUUCAAUGAUUUCUCAGAAAUUCAAUGGGUUCAUGAGGAUAGAAUUACAUUGUUCACCGCUGAUGGACUGGUGCAGAUUGGAGGCUCCAUCACCCCUCGCCAUGUUAGCUCUUCAGAUGUAGUACCGAAGACUAUUGGAAAAGAUAGGAUGCUGCUCAAGUAAUGGCUCAGUUAGUAUGGGAAGGACUUGGACUCGGAGGAGGGACAGAUGUCCGAAACUGGGGCAGCCUGGUUUAUCAGGCUAUUUCAAUAGCAAAUAAUGCAUGCUGGGCUAUUGGAGAACUUGCAGUUAAGAUUUGAGUUAUUUUCUGUGGUCACCACAUUUUAAAGCAACAGCUCAAAGAAAAAGCGACAACUUUAAAAGAUGAACUUGGAGACAUGAAGGCCAAACAGUAGCAACAAGAGGAAGAGAUUCAUGGAUUGUGGAAUAUGGUUUAGUUAUUAGAAAAUACUUAUGUAAGAUAUAAUAUUUUAGUUUUUCGUAGAGUAUUAGUAGUAAAUUUUAAGUGGUCUCUUGCUUAUUUUGAUAUGACUAUGCUUAAUUUGG